rnacentral:rRNA from 1 species
AAAAAAAACCUGGGCAUAUAAAAAAAAGGAAAAAGCUUUUUUUAUUUAAAAAUUUCAACAACGGAUCUCUUGAAAAAGGAAACGAUGAAGAACGCAUCAAAAUGCGAUAAGUAAUGUGAAUUGCAAAAUUCAGUGAAUCAUCGAAUCUUUGAACGCACAUUGCGCCCGCCAGUAUUCUGGCGGGCAUGCCUGUUCGAGCGUCAUUUCAACCCUCAAGCACAGCUUGGUGUUGGGACUCGCGUUAAUUCGCGUUCCUCAAAUUGAUUGGCGGUCACGUCGAGCUUCCAUAGCGUAGUAGUAAAACCCUCGUUACUGGUAAUCGUCGCGGCCACGCCGUUAAACCCCAACUUCUGAAUGUUGACCUCGGAUCAGGUAGGAAUACCCGCUGAACUUAAGCAUAUCAAUAAGCGGAGGA